UACAGAGACCUCAAGCGUUAUCCGGAAUCAUUGGGCGUAAAGCGUACCGAUAGGUGGUUUAGAAAGUCAGAAGUGAAAUCUCAAAGCUCAACUUUGAGACUGUCUUUUGAAACUUCUAAACUAGAGGGGCAAAGAGGAAGCUGGAACGAACGGUGUAGUAGUGAAAUGCGUUGAUAUCGUUCGGAACACCAAUAGCGUAGGCAGGCUUCUGGGUGCCACCUGACACUGCUAGGACGAAAGCGUGGGGAGCGAAUGGG
rnacentral:rRNA from 1 species